rfam:Myotis brandtii contig300813, whole genome shotgun sequence.
GUACUUACCUGGCAGGGGAGAUAUCAUGAUCGCGAAGGUUGUUUUCCAGGGAGAGGUUUACUUAUUGCAUUCCAGAUAUGCUGACCCCUGCGAUUUCCCCAAAUAUGGGAAACUGGACUACAUAAUUAGACUGCAUUCAAGCUCUC